rnacentral:lncRNA from 14 species
CUCCACUCCACGCAUCCCCCGUUCGCUCCUCUCCUCACCCCAUCCCUCUUUACCACAGGGCAGCCCCGGAGCCCCAGGGAGCAAGGGUGACCGUGGGGAGCCGGUGAGUGAUGUGGGGCCAUGUGCCACCCCCUAGCCUGCGGCCAGCCCCCACCCAGGGCCACAACAGCUCCCCUCGACCCCUUUCUGUCACCAUUCUUCUUUCAGGGGCUUCCUGGACCCCCAGGACGAUCCGUUGAUGUGGGGCUCGGAGGACUGGUGGAGAAGGGUGAGAAGGGGGACCCCGGGGACCCUGGUGAGGACGGGGCGAAGGGCGCCCGGGGCGACGCUGGCUCCCCGGGGCUGCCGGGAGAGAGGGGCGUGGAGGGCCCCCGCGGCCCCCCCGGUGCUCGGGGUGACCCUGGGGUCCGAGGCCUGCCGGGAGAGAAGGGGGACCGUGGCCUGCCGGGGCUGGAUGGCCGAAAUGGGCUGGAGGGCAAACCAGGACCCCCAGGUCCUGCCGGGCUGCGGGUGAGCGUGGGGCAGGGCAGGGGCUGGGGGUGAUGGGGCAGGAGGAGCUGCUCUCCAGGCACCCUCUGCUCUGGGCUGAGGGUGCUCACAGGGAGCUUUAUGCCAGGGGUGUCCCUGUCCUCACCUCUCCUUGUCUGCAGGGAGACCCCGGGAAGCAGGGGGACCCUGGCCGGGAUGUAAGUACCGUGGGGAGGGUGAGCUUGGGCUGUGGCUCUGAUGUAAGGAACCGAUGUCCUGUCCCACACUUCCUAGUCCGGGGAAGCACUGCAGGACUGUCCCUGUCCCCAGCACCGUGCUGCUGUCCCGGAGCAGAUGGGUGCCCUGCCACCAUGU